rnacentral:tRNA from 1 species
GUCCUGAUAGCUUAACCAAAGCACUGGUCUUGUAAGCCAGAGAUUGCAGACUAACCUCUGCUCAAGACU